CUGGCUCAGGAUGAACGCUAGCGACAGGCUUAACACAUGCAAGUCGAGGGGCAUCACGGGAGUAGCAAUACAACUGGUGGCGACCGGCGCACGGGUGAGUAACGCGUAUGCAACCUACCUAUCAGAGGGAAUAACCCGGCGAAAGUCGGACUAAUACCGCAUAAAACAGGGGCACCGCAUGGUGAUAUUUGUUAAAGAAAUUCGCUGAUAGAUGGGCAUGCGUUCCAUUAGGUAGUUGGUGAGGUAACGGCUCACCAAGCCGACGAUGGAUAGGGGAACUGAGAGGUUGGUCCCCCACACUGGUACUGAGACACGGACCAGACUCCUACGGGAGGCAGCAGUGAGGAAUAUUGGUCAAUGGGCGGGAGCCUGAACCAGCCAAGUCGCGUGAAGGAAGAAGGAUCUAUGGUUCGUAAACUUCUUUUGCAGGGGAAUAAAGUGCAGGACGUGUCCUGUUUUGUAUGUACCCUGAGAAUAAGGAUCGGCUAACUCCGUGCCAGCCGCGGC
rnacentral:rRNA from 1 species